rnacentral:tRNA from 1 species
GGAGAGGCCGGCGGUCGCGGGCACGCCGUUGGAAGCGGCGUAGGGGGUGCGAGCCUCCUCGUGGGUUCGAAUCCCACCCUCUCCG